UACGUAGGUGGCAAGCGUUGUCCGGAAUUAUUGGGCGUAAAGCGCGCGCAGGCGGUCCUUUAAGUCUGAUGUGAAAGCCCACGGCUCAACCGUGGAGGGUCAUUGGAAACUGGGGGACUUGAGUACAGAAGAGAAGAGUGGAAUUCCACGUGUAGCGGUGAAAUGCGUAGAGAUGUGGAGGAACACCAGUGGCGAAAGCGGCGCACUGGACCAUAACUGACGCUGAGGCGCGAAAGCUAGGGGAGCAAACAG
rnacentral:rRNA from 1 species